UGGUCUUUCUCUUAUACAUAACAUAACAUACAUAAUCCAUGGUGCCGGGGGCGUAGUGCAGGCCACGUCCGGUCUUUCUCUUACAUAGUGCCAGGGGCGUAGUGCAGGCCACACCUGGACUUCCAUACCAUAUCAUCAUGUCAUAACAUAUGAGGGCUAAUGGAUCAUUCAACAUUCAUCCACAUCAACAACAUAUUAUGCAAUGCAACAUAUUCGUGAUUUCUAAUGCAAACAACCUAAAAUAUCACAUGGCAUCCGUGAUGCAUGAACAUGCUCAAAACUGAUUUAUUUACUUAAGAGCAUAAGAGUUAUU
rnacentral:lncRNA from 1 species